rnacentral:rRNA from 1 species
GACGAACGCUGGCGGCGCGCCUAACACAUGCAAGUCGAACGGAGUCAAGAGGAGCUUGCUUUUCUUGACUUAGUGGCGAACGGGUGAGUAACGCGUGAGUAACCUGCCCUGGAGUGGGGGACGACAGUUGGAAACGACUGCUAAUACCGCAUAAGCCCACGGAUCCGCAUGGAUCUGCGGGAAAAGGAUUUAUUCGCUUCAGGAUGGACUCGCGUCCAAUUAGCUAGUUGGUGAGGUAACGGCCCACCAAGGCGACGAUUGGUAGCCGGACUGAGAGGUUGGACGGCCACAUUGGGACUGAGACACGGCCCAGACUCCUACGGGAGGCAGCAGUGGGGGAUAUUGCACAAUGGGGGAAACCCUGAUGCAGCGACGCCGCGUGGAGGAAGAAGGUUUUCGGAUUGUAAACUCCUGUCGUUAGGGACGAUAAUGACGGUACCUAACAAGAAAGCACCGGCUAACUACGUG